GUUUCGACGACAAGUGCUCGCUUGGAAGACGAUGAUAAGGAAUCACGCACAAAUAUCAUAAACAACCGUCUAAUUCGCAUAUUUACGGUGAUAUCACAAAAAGGAAGAUAAAAAGUUCACUUUAAAGAUGUCUGUCUAAAGCUGAACACUACUGCUGUUUGUGGAAUCAAAGUAUGUAUCGUGGUAAUGUCAUUUUAUCAAAUGGAUCGGUGGCCUCACCUUAUGGCAUUGUGCCUGGACAGCAGCAACAACAACGGCCUGUCAUGCUAAAUGCUAUGUAUCGUUUUGGACAACAGACUCAACAAGCCACAUACAGGUCACAAGUCCCUCCUCAAGCUGUUUCUGGACAGCCAUUGCGCAUGCCAUCAGUACCUGCAGGUUAUGGUUCGUUACCAUACACAGUGAAGCCAGCCCCUAUAGUACCAACAGUUGCAGUGAGGAGUCAGACCCGGACCCAGUCUCAGCAGUACAGUUCCACAGUCAUUGGAGGUGGUGGUCAAACCCAGCAUUAUUCUGCUGUCAGGAGUCAAACCCAACAGUUUUCUACGGCACCGAAACCUACUCCGAUCUGUGUGAAUCUCCUGAACAACAACGUUGCUGCUGGUGCCCCCUUACAACAAAACGCUGCAGAGAAUGAACAGAUUCGGAGACUGAUCAUUCAGAAGGCGAACAUCCAGCAGAGUCCAGGCAGUAAAACACUUGUAACUAACAAUACCAUUGUUUCAAAUAACACAAUCAUCAGAAACGAUACACAUGAUACGGUCGUGAGGAAUAAUACAUUUGUUGCUAAUAAGACUAUAGUCGCUAACAACACACUUGUGUCUAAUAGUACACUGGUAAAAAAUAUCAAUCUUGUGAACAACUCGCAAAUCGCCGUCGCAAACCUUACAAGUAGGACUCCCAAUCUUCCCCAGCAAGUCAGAUUCGCUAAUCAGUUUAACGCUGAAAUUCUCAAACAAAUUGACGCAAAACGAAAUCAGCUGUUAGCUCAACGAUAUUACAAUUCACAAAGGUUGAAUGCUGUUCAGAACAAUAGCCAAAAAGAAAACGUGAAUUUGGUUCGUCUUCAAACCGAAAAAUAUCAAGGUAGUGACAUCAGAGCAAUUGAAGGAAGAGUCUCGCCCGCAAACUUGGACGGAAGUGUUUCACCUCAUUCCCGUGAAAGAAGCAUUUCACCUUCUGACGCAGAAAAGAAUAAUUCACCUUCUAAAGAAAGUCCCCCUCCAAGUGAUCCUGAACCAGGCUGUUCAACAACUUCUCUUAAAAGAAGCAUUUCCCCUUGUGAGUUUGAAAAAGUUAUUCGAUCUAAAGACAAAGACGAAGAAGAUAUUACAGACAUGGCAUCAAAGGAUUUUGAAAGGUCAUAUAGCAGAGAUUCGAGACCAUAUUCAAGAAACUCAGAUUCAUAUCAGAGUCGGAGUAGUGGUAAAGGAAAGAGACGUGCAGAGUCGCCCCACGAUGAUGAUGCAAAGCGUGUUCGAGGCCUGCAGUGGGGACAGGGUGUGGACAACGAUAUCGCCCAUUACCAGAACCCUGCUUACGCUGGCACUACAAAGGCCAGUCAAGACAUGCUAGAUUACUUCAUCAAGAAUCACCAGACAGAAUCAGCGUUACAGAAGAAAAAGGAGUUGAGGGACGCACUACUAGCAAUUAUAACUCCUGCUUUCCCUUAUUGCAGUCUGUACAUUGUGGGGUCCUCCAUGAGCGGGUUUGGUACCAUGUCUAGUGAUAUGGAUCUCUGUCUCAGUAUUAGUGACCAACAUAUUGACCAAACAAAGGAAGCACCGGAGAUUCUGUACCACAUUAAAAAGGCCCUCUCCACCUGUACCUUCCUGAGGGACAUAGUGGUUAUCAGAGCCAAAGUGCCAAUCCUCAGAUUUACCGAUAAAAUCAGUGAUGUGGAGUGUGAUGUAAAUAUAAACAACAUUGUUGGUAUCAGGAAUACCCACCUGCUGCGCUACUACUCACAAGUUGACUGGCGGGUACGACCUAUGGUGUUAUUUGCCAAGAAGUGGGCCCGUUUUCAUGACAUCAACGAUGCGUCCAAAGCCACUAUUUCCAGCUAUUCCCUCAGUCUGAUGAUAGUCCACUACCUUCAGUGUGGAUGCCAACCAGCAGUUCUCCCGUCACUGCAGAAGCUACAUCCAGACUUGUUUGCUAAAAGCUUAGACAUUCAGAACCUGAAAAUGAACCAUCAGAUGGACUUCAAGGUGCAGAACCGCCAGCCGCUCGGUGACCUGUUUGAGGGAUUUCUGGAGUACUUCACCUACACGUUCAAUUUUGACAACGAUGUUAUAAGUGUAAGACUUGGUACAUGUAUGUCAAAGCGUAUGGCUGUUACCCAAUCUGGGGAAGAAAACAGCUGGAAACAUCUGAAAAUUGAAGAGCCUUUUGACUUCACCAACACAGCAAGGUCCUGUUACGAUGUCAAUAUCUUCGAAAGAGUAAAGAGAGUCUUCCGUAUUAGUCACCGAAAGCUCAAACAGACUGGAAAGAUUUCCUCUCUAUUUGAAUGUCCAUUCUGAGUUUGGAGAAGACACAGAAACAUGUUUCAAGAAGUCUAAAGAUCAAACUUCAUGAUUUAUAAGAAACUAAAGAAAAAAGGAUCAAGAAGUGUUCAGACAUCUGAUUUGAUGCCUGUUCAGACAUUCGUUUUGAUUUUAACGAAAUCUGGAAAUUAGGAUAAAAAAGACAGAAACUUGAAUGAAGACCUGCUUAUUCAUCCUUUCUGGUUUUUGAGGGAAUAUACAAGAGGAGAAACCAGUAUAUUUGGAUCAGUAGUAUUGGUUUGAACAGCCAUUCUGAUGUUGGGACAAUGUAAUGAGUUUUUGACCUGCAGAGAAAGCUCGAACUAAUGUAGCAUCUUGCCAUCUUCAAUAGCAGGAACUGUUCAAAUCUGUGACUGGUAGAAUGAGCUUUAGCUAAUAUAGCACCUUGGAAUAGUAGGAGCUGUUCAGAUCUAAAGGUAUGUAGGUAUUGCUGUUGCUAACAUAGCUUCUUUGAAUGCCGUGAAAAUCUGUGGUGUCACUGUCUAUAAUAAACUUAAGUGAACAAAGCAUCUACGAGUAGCAGGAGCUGUUCAAAUCUGCGAUCUGUACAGAAGUUUGAGAACACAAACAUCUUCAAAUAGCGGGAGCUGUUCAAAUCUGAUGCUUGUUGGGAAUCGAGAAACCAUUCUGCCUGGGCUUCAACUGAUUUUGAUUAGCCUUCUGUCUGGAACAGAAUUUUCUCCACUGUAUCCAAUUUUUCCUGUCCUAGUCUUAAUUGGCUUCAAGAUAGCCAAGCAAAUGUGGAUACAUUAUUACUGGGAAUGAAUUCAUGAGUCGGAAGUGAAUACAUUGUACAUAGCUUUGAACUGAACCAGUUGCACAAGAUGUGUUGAUCACCCAGACAAGACUGAUUCAAGCUUCCUCAGAGUGUUACCCCAAGUGUUAGGGAGAUACCCCUGGUGUUAGGGUGAUACCCCUAGUGUUAGGAUGAUAACCCUGGUGUUAGGAUGAUACCAUAGUGUUAGAAUGAUAACCCUGGUGUUAGGAUGAUACCCCUAGUGUUAGGAUGAUACCACUAGUGUAAGGAUGAUACACCUAGUGUAAGGAUGAUACCCCUAGUAUUAGGAUGAUACCAAUAGUGUAAGGAUGAUACCCUUAGUGUUAGGAUGAUACCACUAGUGUAAGGAUGAUACCCCUAGUGUAAGGAUGAUACCCCUAGUGUAAGGAUGAUACCCAUAGUGUAAGGAUGAUAACCCUGGUUUUAGGGAAAGAUGUUUACAUCUUCAGCAACGAAAGAAGGGGGAAUAAUAAACUUUAAAGUGUUCUCUGAAACUUAGUAUGAUAUUCUGGAAGUGAAUUGAACUCUUGUCGAAGACUAAUACUUGAAAUUCACAAGUUAGUGUGAAUAUGUGAACUUCAACAGUGAUGUUAAGAGAUUUUGAGUAGUGUAUGAUAUACACAAGUGUAUAAAAAAAAAUGUUUCCUCAUUUCACAGGUGACGGUAAGUGUUUUUUCAAAUAGUGUCUGAAAUUCACAAGUGACAUUAGUGUUUCCUUACAUAGUAUUUGAAAUUAACAAGAGCCUGAAAAAUUUGGACCCUGAACAUUUUUCAUGGAUAUGGUUAAAUUCUUCAUUUACCUAAGCAAGUGUACAGUUUAAGGUUUUUGAGUGACUGACAAGUGUUUUACCCACAUGUUUUUUCUAUCAGUGUGUGAUAGCGUUACAUGGUAGUGGGGUUAUAGGUAUGUGUUGAUCAUAUAGGUAUGUAGGGAAACACAGGUAUGUUUUGUGGAUCAUAUAGGUAUGUAGGGAAACACAGGUAUGUAUCAGUAUUGAUACAGGUAUGUAUGACAAAUAUCGGUACAUGUAAGUGAAAAUAUAGCUACUUUGGAUACAGAGGAAGUCAAUUUGGAGUAGUGGUGCUAGUGGAAUACUGUAUACUGGAGAAAAUGUUCACUGCAGUUUAAUUUUCGCUUUUUUCGCCACCCGUAAUGAGGCAAAUUUAUUUUGACAGAGAAAGUUAGUAAACAGCAUGAUAUAUUAAGGAAUUCAAUGUGAAGGGCUGGUAUACAGUAUUAUGUUAAGUUGUAGGUCAGUAGACAACGGCAAAUGGCAAAAGUUUGACUUGGAAAGGAUUUCUAGUUAUACAGUAUUAUGUUAAGUUGUAGGUCAGUAGAUACAUAGUGUUAGCUAAGUUAAAAAAAUCUUCAUAGCUCACACUACAAACUGUACAUAGGCAACAUCAACAGCUGUGUCAUCAACUACUCAUGUGCAGAAUGCAUAGAUACUUUAUAGUAUGUACCAAGUGUAUAUAUUGGUUACAGAAGUGCAGGAUUCCAAUACAAAAGACUGGUAUCUAUUGUGUAAGGUAUCUCAGUGCUCAGCUUAAAACUAGAACCAUUUAUGACCAAUGGAAAUGGGAAACAAAAUCACAAAAACAUGUUGAUUAUGGUACAGUGUAGACCCUUAUUGAUUUGUUAAACAGGAAAACAGACUAUGUACGCAGACAAUGAUUCUAGUUAUUAAUAAUGGUGAAACAGAGGAAUAACCAGGAUAUGUAUAGAGAAUUUUUACGUGGAUGGGAACAUAAUGAGGGCCCUGCGUAAAGAGAAAGCGAGUACCCUUAGGCAGUAGUAAUCAACUUGUUAAUUAAGUAUUAUUGUACUGAGUGCUAUAUGAUAAUUUAUUGAUGCCAUUAAUCAUUCACCCCUGAAAUUUCAUAAUGAACUACUCCAACCUUUGAAUUGGAAGAGUUCAAAUAUGUCUUCAGGGGUGAAUGAGUUAAUUUAGGACCAGGGGAGCGUGAGAAAGAACUACUAUAUAUAUAUAUAUAUAUGUAAUAUAUGUUAAAAUUUUAAGUACAUAAUAUAUGUCCAUCUAAGUCUUAUGUUAAUAUUUUGAGAAAAUUAAUUAUCUGUCUUUGAGUUAUUAUAUGUAUGAUGAAUCUUGUCAAACUGUAAACAUGGAGAAUUUCACUGGGUGUAAAUUAACAAUUUCAUUCAUAACACUUUGCAAGGCAGUAUAAUUAUACCAGGAGGUAUAUAGGAAUCGCCUAUCCAACUGUCCGUCACAUUUCUCUUGUUUUCAAUAGGUCUGAGACUGAUAGAAUGUACUGGUUUAUGCAUGGGGGGCAAGAUUAUGCGGUAACAAACAUAAGUGUAAUGCAUUGUACCUGGUACCUACAAACAUAAGUGUAAUACAUGGUACCUGGUACCUACAUGUGUCAAUUUCCAUGUUUACAGUACUGUGUUCAACAUUUCUGCCAUUGUAUUGUAUUAUAUCUGCCAUAUCCUGUGCUUGUCAAUUAACAUAGAAUAUCAUAUGUAUAUAAAAUCUUAUUUCAUUCAUAUAGCGAGAUUACACACUACAUGUUUAUAUACAAAUCGUAUAUUAAGUAUUUCAGUCAUAAAAUGAAAUGACACACCUUGUGUUUUUGCAAAACCUUUAUAUUAUGUAAUAAGUAUUUCAAAUGUGAAUACAUAGCUAGAUUUCAAAAAAAGAUAUUUGUUAUGCAUGUAUUUGCAAGUUUAUUGUAUACAGUAUUGAUAUUUUAAUAACAUGUAGUACUUCUGAUAGUAUGCAUCAGAUAUGAAAAAAUAGUAGUACAACUCGACUGUCUAAUAGUCUAGAAACAGACGUGAUCUUGGUGUUCACUUUGCAUUGUAUGCAAAAAUACUAUUUUAGUUUGGAGUUAGCGGUUUGGAGAUUAUUUUGUCAUUAGUGUGAUCAUGUUGAGUUUGCUAAGUUAAAUUCAAUUAAUCGUGAAGAUGAAGUUAGCACAGCCAAGAAAAUAACUUUUAUUACCAGGUAAGUAAAUGUUUUGAAUUUUGAUGUACCGUACCCACAUGUUCAUCCCGUUAUGAGGACAAUAUGAGGAAUAUUUAAUGUAUCUUGCUGGACUGUAAGUGUAGUUGUGGCUGGUCCAGACUUGCUUUGACUUUAUAAAAGAACAGGGAUAGCAUCUCUAAUUAAGGAUCCCUGUACCACUUCCAAAAACUGUAACUAGUACAUUUAAUGGAAUUUGAUUUUUUCCGGCAUGACUGUAACUUUGAUAAAUCAUUUCUGGAAAGAAACUGUACCUUUCAUGACUUGUAUGAGAAAUAAUAAAGAUGAAAUUAACAAAAUAUACUAGUCAUCAACAACAGUGUUCUGAGGGUAAAACAAAUGUGGGGCUAGACACGGAUUGCUGAUCUAUCACUAUCACCAAUGGAGCUAUAUCUGGUUGAUGGAAGUGUCCUGGUCCAGUUGUGCUACCUUUAUAUCCAAAUGAAAGCUAAGGGAAGGUUACUGCAUACAGAAAAAAAAACAGUGUAGUGGGACAGAGAUCAUUGAAGAUAUUGAGGUAGACAGCCUAAUUAGAUUAACCAGAUGAUUGAUUGAGACCUGCAGAAAUGGUGUCGAGGCGACCAGUAGUGGCAUUGUUUUAUUACAGUAGGUGAUGAUUGCUCCAUUCAAAUUCACCAGACAAAAGUAUGCAAGUAAUUCUGGUAAACUGUACACUUGUAGUGACAAUGUAUAGAGGGAAAAUGAACAGGAGACUUUUUGUAUAAUUUCUUGUCUGGACCAUAACUUUUAAACCUAUAAAUGUCUCUGUAAAACUUUGAAGUACACCUAAAUCUACAACAUCAGAUGUGCAGUGUGCUGUAGUUUUGCCACGGAUACUGACCUCUAAAUACAGUAAGAUAAUGUAAGUAGUGAAUUUUUGUUUGGUCCACAAAUGUUGCGUUUAAAAAAGCACACAAAUGUCAAAUGACAAUUUCUAUUAAAAUCUUGUGUGCAACAUUUACAACUUUGAAAACUAGAGGAGUAUAGCAAAGAGUAUAUAUUACGGCACAUAGUAUUUUUAGUUUUUUUUGUACAUUAAAAGUCUACUUUUAUUGAAUCUUUACAAAAAUCAUUAAGACAAUAUAAAAUGAACCAUAUUAAAUUAUGAGUUCAAUGGUUUAGGGUUUACAUUUAUUUUUAUCGUUCUAUUCUUGCACAUCUAGCACAUUUUUUGAAAAAAAAUCAGAUAUAUGCACAUUGGCUAACAUGGGGUUCACAAAAGUAAUUUCUAGCUUUUUUGGAGCCAAAUUUUAUGUUUUUUAUUUUUUUUUACAAAGAGCACAGACAUUUCCAUCUUUGAUAAUCAACUGAUUAAAAUCACUCUGUUGAUCGGAAGAGAAAAGUAUGAGAUAGGAAAAUUUGGUCGAUAAAGAUGUACAUAUAAAGACAUACCUGUUCUAUAUAGUUGGUUAUCUUCAUAACUGAUUUUUUUUUUCUUAUUAAGAACUUAUUUAUUUGCAAUUCACAGACUGUGAAAUUGGUUGAAAAUGUUAAUUCUGGUUGAAAAUGCAAAAAAUACUCUCUCAUUGGUAUUUGAUUUUUGCUUUCAAAGUCGAGAUUACCAGUUAUCCUGAAAUAUCAUUUGAAUCAUUUUAGGUUAAUUUGUAUGCACUAUUAUUUCAACUUAAUUUGUCUAUACUUAUUACCACAUGGAACUUUCUUUAUGUGUUAGUCAAUAUUUUUUGCCCAUUAAAUUUGAGUGAUUAUUUAUAAGCUGGGUGGACCAAAGGUCUAAGCAAUAUGUUCAUAUUGUAAAAGUGUUGUGCAGUCUUAUCGAAAUGUGUCGUAGUGUGUGAUUUGUGUAUUUGUAAUCGUAUACUGUAGUAGUACAAAAAGAUUGAUUUGUGUAUUUGUUUUCUAAGUACUGUCUACAAAAUGAUUUACAUUUAUCAGUAGAUAAGUAAAUUCUGUACUGGAUGGUAAGUGAAAACACUGAAAUAUUUCUGAAGGUUUUCUUUGAUAUUUGAGGUACAGGUAUAUUUGAAAAGUUAAUCAAUAUGCUUAUUGUCAGCAAUUUUGCACAAAUCUCAAACCUAAAAAUAUUAAUUUAUAGUCUCUUAUAGAUUCCUAUUUGUUUGGAACAGUGAAAGUGUUUUUUUCUCCAUACCAUGUUUGACUAAACUUAAGAAUUUAGUGAAAGUGGUAAUGUUCACUUGACAAUAUAGCAUAAAUUCUACCAAUUGUUUUUUUUUAAUAAUUUGUGACGAGGAUGAUUUCAAGAACAGGGAGAUGAACAUAUAUUUAUUAAUGCUUUGUUGUCCCUUCAUCAUAACAUAUAACACACACAAGUUGUUAAUUUUGUGUGACUGAUUUUCUUGAUUCGUAACUGGCUGUUUUGACUCUGGCGAUUUUCUUGAUUCGUCCCACCUUCUAUUACUUUCUAGCCUUCCCCCAAUGACUCCUAGGCCCUGUUCUUCAUAGGCUGUUGGUCUUAACUACUGACAAAUACACAUCUUUCAUCUUCUGUACAAUAAUGUUCAAAAAAAAUUCAGGCGCAGAACCGAACCUGCAUGUAUGGGAGUGUAAAAUGUUUGUCCAUCGAAAACAAACACAAAAAUAAUAUUAAAAUUUCAAAAGUUUCUCAAAAAGUUCAUUUUUUAAAUUCUAUGUAAAUGACUUGUUAAGGUUAUCAUGCUAUGAAACACAUCGGUGGUGCUUAGGUAAAUAUGACUAGUAUAUAUAAACCAUACUUAUUACAUUAUGUUCAAUAUCUUAUCAAUUAUUCUAUGUAUACAUAAUCAAUGAUUUAAUCUUAUUUCACCGACAUCCUUUCAUAGUUUGAAAGAACUUUGGUGUAAUUUAAAUUUAAUUAGACAAUUCAGUUACUUGGUCGAUCUUUCUCACUGGUUAAGUAAAUUUGUGAAGUGGAUAUGAUUUGUUUGGUAAGAGAAUUCGUGUGUUUAGAGUCUUCGUGUUGUUAUUUGUAAUUAUUAUGUAGUUAACAUGUGUAUUUCAUCCUGAAAAAUAUACUAGUUAACUGUAUACCUCAUCCAGACUAUUGUAUUAUCUGCAGUGAUAAACUCAUUGGAAAUAAAUAUUUUUCGUUA
rnacentral:misc_RNA from 1 species